rnacentral:rRNA from 1 species
GUGGGGAAUAUUGGACAAUGGGGGGAACCCUGAUCCAGCCAUGCCGCGUGUGUGAAGAAGGCCUUAUGGUUGUAAAGCACUUUAAGCGAGGAGGAGGCUCUUUUGGUUAAUACCCAGAAUGAGUGGACGUUACUCGCAGAAUAAGCACCGGCUAACUCUGUGCCAGCAGCCGCGGUAAUACAGAGGGUGCAAGCGUUAAUCGGAUUUACUGGGCGUAAAGCGCGCGUAGGCGGCCAAUUAAGUCAAAUGUGAAAUCCCCGAGCUUAACUUGGGAAUUGCAUUCGAUACUGGUUGGCUAGAGUGUGGGAGAGGAUGGUAGAAUUCCAGGUGUAGCGGUGAAAUGCGUAGAGAUCUGGAGGAAUACCGAUGGCGAAGGCAGCCAUCUGGCCUAACACUGACGCUGAGGUGCGAAAGCAUGGGGAGCAA